rnacentral:misc_RNA from 1 species
UAAUACAGUGUUUCUAUAUGGCACUUUUAAUAUCCAUAUCCACCUUGUGUGCAAUGUCGGUCGAUCUCUUCUUCAUGGAGAUCGACCAAAACAUCCAACCUUUAUUUUUUAACUCUUUGUCUGAAAAAUAUUAUGAAUAAACGAAUUCAAAAUA